rnacentral:rRNA from 1 species
GACGAACGCUGGCGGCGUGCUUAACACAUGCAAGUCGAACGGUGAAGCGCCUUCCUUUUUGGUGGGUGUGGAUGAGUGGCGAACGGGUGAGUAACACGUGAGUAACCUGCCCCCUUCUUCUGGAUAACCGCAUGAAAGUGUGGCUAAUACGGGAUAUUCUGGGUCUGUCGCAUGAUGGGUCUGGGAAAGAUAUUGUUUCGGUGGGGGAUGGGCUCGCGGCCUAUCAGCUUGUUGGUGGGGUGAUGGCCUACCAAGGCGGUGACGGGUAGCCGGCCUGAGAGGGUGGACGGUCAUACUGGGACGGAGACACGGCGCAGACUCCUACGGGAGGCAGCAGUGGGGAAUAGUGCACAAUGGGCGCAAGGCUGAUGCAGCGACGCCGCGGGAGGGAUGGAGGCCUUCGGGUUGUGAACCUCUUUCGCCAGUGAAGCAGGCCUGCCUCGUUUGUGGGUGGGUUGACGGUAGCUGGAUAAGAAGCGCCGGCUAACUACGUG